GUAGUCAUAUGCUUGUCUCAAAGAUUAAGCCAUGCAUGUCUAAGUAUAAGCAACUAUACGGUGAAACUGCGAAUGGCUCAUUAAAUCAGUUAUCGUUUAUUUGAUAGUACCUUACUACAUGGAUAACCGUGGUAAUUCUAGAGCUAAUACAUGCUAAAAACCCCGACUUCGGAAGGGGUGUAUUUAUUAGAUAAAAAACCAAUGCCCUUCGGGGCUCCUUGGUGAAUCAUAAUAACUUAACGAAUCGCAUGGCCUUGCGCCGGCGAUGGUUCAUUCAAAUUUCUGCCCUAUCAACUUUCGAUGGUAGGAUAGUGGCCUACCAUGGUAUCAACGGGUAACGGGGAAUG
rnacentral:rRNA from 2 species